UACGAAGGGGGCUAGCGUUGCUCGGAAUUACUGGGCGUAAAGCGCACGUAGGCGGCUUUCUAAGUCGGGGGUGAAAUCCUGGAGCUCAACUCCAGAACUGCCUUCGAUACUGGAGAGCUUGAGUCCGGGAGAGGUGAGUGGAACUGCGAGUGUAGAGGUGAAAUUCGUAGAUAUUCGGAAGAACACCAGUGGCGAAGGCGACUUACUGGACACAUACUGACGCUGAGGUGCGAAAGCGUGGGGAGCAAACAGG
rnacentral:rRNA from 1 species